AUGUUCCGAAAGGCCCGGCGGGUGAACGUGCGCAAGCGGAACGACUCUGAAGAGGAAGAGCGGGAACGCGAUGAGGAGCAGGAGCCGCCGCCGUUGUUGCCGCCGCCGGGCACGGGCGAAGAGGCGGGCCCCGGUGGCGGCGACAGGGCCCCUGGCGGGGAGUCGCUGCUGGGCCCGGGGCCGCCGCCGCCUUCCGCGCUGACCCCGGGCCUCGGGGCUGAGGUCGGGGGCGGCUUCCCCGGCGGCGCGGAGCCCGGCAACGGGCUGAAGCCGCGCAAGAGGCCUCGCGAGAACAAAGAGGUGCCCCGGGCCAGCCUGCUCAGCUUCCAGGACGAGGAGGAAGAAAAUGAAGAAGUUUUCAAAGUGAAGAAAUCAAGUUAUAGCAAAAAGAUAGUAAAAUUGCUCAAGAAGGAAUAUAAAGAAGAUCUUGAAAAAUCGAAGAUUAAGACAGAACUCAACUCAUCAGCUGAAAGUGAACAACCUUUGGACAAAACAGGACAUGUUAAGGAUACAAAUCAAGAAGAUGGAGUUAUCAUCAGUGAGCAUGGUGAAGAUGAAAUGGAUAUGGAAAGUGAAAAAGAGGAAGAAAAGCCAAAGACUGGUGGAGCUUUUUCAAAUGCUUUAUCUUCAUUGAAUGUUCUUCGUCCAGGAGAAAUUCCAGAUGCAGCUUUUAUACAUGCUGCAAGGAAAAAGCGCCAAAUGGCCCGAGAAUUGGGAGAUUUCACUCCUCAUGAUAAUGAGCCUGGUAAAGGCCGCCUUGUUAGAGAAGAUGAGAAUGAUGCCAGUGAUGAUGAAGAUGACGAUGAGAAACGUCGGAUAGUUUUUUCUGUGAAAGAAAAGUCACAAAGACAAAAAAUUGCUGAGGAAAUAGGAAUUGAGGGGAGUGAUGAUGAUGCUUUAGUAACUGGAGAACAGGAUGAAGAGCUCAGCCGAUGGGAACAGGAGCAGAUAAGGAAAGGAAUUAAUAUCCCUCAGGUUCAAGCCAGUCAACCCGCGGAAGUGAAUAUGUACUACCAGAACACUUACCAGACAAUGCCUUACGGCUCAUCCUAUGGCAUUCCUUAUAGUUAUACGGCCUAUGGAUCAUCAGAUGCCAAAUCUCAAAAAACAGAUAAUACAGUCCCUUUCAAAACUCCCAGUAAUGAGAUGACUCCCGUUACUAUUGAUUUGGUAAAGAAACAGCUUAAAGACAGGUUGGACUCCAUGAAAGAAUUGCACAAAACAAAUCGACAGCAGCAUGAGAAACAUCUGCAAAGCCGAGUGGACUCUACCAGGGCUAUUGAAAGAUUAGAAGGGUCUUCUGGGGGUAUUGGUGAACGGUAUAAAUUUUUGCAAGAAAUGCGAGGGUAUGUCCAAGACUUGCUUGAGUGUUUCAGUGAAAAGUCUGUUCAGUUCAGGAAGCUGCUAUAA
rnacentral:sRNA from 1 species